UACUCUGCCGAACUUCGCCCUUGCUGCAGAGUUUGAUCCUGGCUCAGAGCGAACGCUGGCGGCAGGCCUAACACAUGCAAGUCGAACGGCCCCUUCGGGGUUAGUGGCGGACGGGUGAGUAAUACGUGGGACCGUGCCUUUCGGUUCGGAAUAGCUCCUGGAAACGGGUGGUAAUGCCGAAUGUGCCCUUCGGGGGAAAGAUUUAUCGCCUUUAGAGCGGCCCGCGUCUGAUUAGCUUGUUGGUGGGGUAAUGGCCCGCCAAGGCUACGAUCAGUAGCUGGUCUGAGAGGAUGACCAGCCACAUUGGGACUGAGACACGGCCCAAACUCCUACGGGAGGCAGCAGUGGGGAAUCUUGCGCAAUGGGCGAAAGCUGACGCAGCCAUGCCGCGUGUAUGAUGACGGUCUUAGGAUUGUCAAAUACUUUCACCGGUGAAGAUAAUGACUGUCGCCGGAGAAGAAGCCCCGGCUAACUUCGUGCCAGCAGCCGCGGUAAUACGACGGGGGCUAGCGUUGCUCGGAAUUACUGGGCGUAAAGGGAGCGUAGGCGGACAUUUAAGUCAGAGGUGAAAUCCGGAGCUUAACUUCGGAACUGCCUUUGAUACUGGGUGUCUUGAGUGUGAGAGAGGUAUGUCGACUCCGAGUGUAGAGGUGAGAUCGUAGAUAUCGAGACACCAGUGGCGAGCGACAUACUGGCUCAUACUGACGCUAGCUCGAAGCUGGGGAGCAACAGAUAGAUACCUGUAGUCAGCGUAACGAUAU
rnacentral:rRNA from 1 species